AUUGAACGCUGGCGGCAGACCUAACACAUGCAAGUCGAGCGGAGCGGCGGACGGGUGAGUAAUGCCUAGGAAUCUGCCUGGUAGUGGGGGAUACCGUCCGGAACCGGGCGCUAAUACGGCAAACUUUCAAUUGAGCCUGGGUCGGAUUGGCUAGUUGGGGGGGUAAAGGCCUACAAAGGCGACGAUCGGUAACUGGUCUGAGAGGAUGAUCAGUCACACUGGAACUGAGACACGGUCCAGACUCCUACGGGAGGCAGCAGUGGGGAAUAUUGGACAAUGGGCGAAAGCCUGAUCCAGCCAUGCCGCGUGUGUGAAGAAGGUCUUCGGAUUGUAAAGCACUUUAAGUUGGGAGGCGUUACCAACAGAAUAAGCACCGGCUAACUUCGUGCCAGCAGCCGCGGUAAUUC
rnacentral:rRNA from 1 species